rnacentral:rRNA from 1 species
CUGUUGGGGGUGAUGGCGUGCCUUUUGAAGAAUGAGCCUGCGAGUUAGUGGCAUGUCGCGAGGUUAACCCGUGUGGGGUAGCCGUAGCGAAAGCGAGUCCGAAUAGGGCGAUCGUAGUGGCAUGCUCUAGACCCGAAGCGGAGUGAUCUACCCAUGGCCAGGUUGAAGCGACGGUAAGACGUCGUGGAGGACCGAACCCACUUAGGUUGAAAACUGAGGGGAUGAGUUGUGGGUAGGGGUGAAAGGCCAAUCAAACUCCGUGAUAGCUGGUUCUCCCCGAAAUGCAUUUAGGUGCAGCGUCGCGUGUUUCUCACCGGAGGUAGAGCUACUGGAUGGUCUAGGGGGCCCACAAGCUUACCGAAAUCAGCCAAACUCCGAAUGCCGGUGAGUGAGAGCGCGGCAGUGAGACUGCGGGCGAUAAGGUUCGUAGUCGAGAGGGAAACAGCCCAGAUCGCCAGCUAAGGUCCCUAAGCGUGUACUAAGUGGAAAAGGAUGUGGGGUCGCGAAGACAACCAGGAGGUUGGCUUAGAAGCAGCCACCCUUGAAAGAGUGCGUAAUAGCUCACUGGUCAAGUGAUCCUGCGCCGACAAUGUAGCGGGGCUCAAGUACACCACCGAAGCUGCGGCAUUCACGCAAUAGCCCCCAGUUGAUCCAAGGAUUUUCUGGCAGGUGUGUGGAUGGGUAGGGGAGCGUCGUGUGGCCAUGGAAGCGGCAGGGUGACCUAGCCGUGGAGGCCACACGAGUGAGAAUGCAGGCAUGAGUAGCGAAAGACGAGUGAGAAACUCGUCCGCCGAAUGACCAAGGGUUCCUGGGCCAGGUUAAUCCGCCCAGGGUGAGUCGGGACCUAAGACGAGGCCGACAGGCGUAGCCGAUGGACAACGGGUUGAUAUUCCCGUACCCGUGUGAACGCGCCCAUGGUGAAUCAGUGAUACUAACCAUCCUGAAGCCACGAGAAGACCUUCGGGUCUCGAGUUGGUGGAUGCAUGGGACCUGAUCUGGUAGUAGCCAAGCGAUGGGGUGACGCAGGAAGGUAGCUGAGCCAGUCAGUGGUAAUACUGGUGUAAGCGUGUAGGGCGUGACCUAGGCAAAUCCGGGUCACACAUAGCCUGAGACGUGAUGCGUAGCCGAUUGAGGCGAAUUCAGUGAUCCUAUGCUGCCGAGAAAAGCCUCUAGCGAGCUUUCACACGGCCCGUACCCCAAACCGACACAGGUGGUCAGGUAGAGAAUACUAAGGCGAUCGAGAUAACUAUGGUUAAGGAACUCGGCAAAAUGCCCCCGUAACUUCGGGAGAAGGGGGGCCCUGUUUGGUGACGACAUUUACUGUCUGAGCUGGGUGGGGCCGCAGAGACCAGUGAGAAGCGACUGUUUACUAAAAACACAGGUCCGUGCGAAGUCGUAAGACGAUGUAUACGGACUGACGCCUGCCCGGUGCUGGAAGGUUAAGAGGACCGGUUAGUUCUUCGGAGCGAAGCUGAGAAUUUAAGCCCCAGUAAACGGCGGUGGUAACUAUAACCAUCCUAAGGUAGCGAAAUUCCUUGUCGGGUAAGUUCCGACCUGCACGAAUGGCGUAACGACUUCUCAGCUGUCUCAACCGUAGACUCGGCGAAAUUGCAUUACGAGUAAAGAUGCUCGUUACGCGCGGCAGGACGAAAAGACCCCGGGACCUUCACUACAGCUUGGUAUUGGUGUUCGGUUCGGUUUGUGUAGGAUAGGUGGGAGACUGUGAAACGGUGACGCCAGUUAUCGUGGAGUCGUUGUUGAAAUACCACUCUGAUCGAAUUGGACCUCUAACCUCGGACCAUGAUCUGGUUCAGGGACAGUGCCUGGUGGGUAGUUUAACUGGGGCGGUUGCCUCCCAAAAUGUAACGGAGGCGCCCAAAGGUUCCCUCAGCCUGGUUGGCAAUCAGGUGUCGAGUGCAAGUGCACAAGGGAGCUUGACUGUGAGACUGACAGGUCGAGCAGGGACGAAAGUCGGGACUAGUGAUCCGGCACCGGCAAGUGGAAGCGGUGUCGCUCAACGGAUAAAAGGUACCCCGGGGAUAACAGGCUGAUCUUCCCCAAGAGUCCAUAUCGACGGGAUGGUUUGGCACCUCGAUGUCGGCUCGUCGCAUCCUGGGGCUGGAGUAGGUCCCAAGGGUUGGGCUGUUCGCCCAUUAAAGCGGCACGCGAGCUGGGUUUAGAACGUCGUGAGACAGUUCGGUCUCUAUCCGCCGCGCGCGUUAGAAACUUGAGGAAGGCUGUCCCUAGUACGAGAGGACCGGGACGGACGAACCUCUGGUGUGCCAGUUGUUCCGCCAGGAGCACCGCUGGUUAGCUACGUUCGGAAGGGAUAACCGCUGAAAGCAUCUAAGCGGGAAGCCUGUUCCAAGAUGAGGUUUCUCACCCCCUCGAGGGGGUAAGGCCCCCGGCAGACCACCGGGUUGAUAGGCCAGAACUGGAAGUGCAGUAAUGCAUGCAGGUGACUGGUACUAAUAGGCCGAGGACUUACCACA